AUGCUUUUCCCAAAGACUAAGCCAUGCAUGCCUUCGAAUAAGAAGAAAGCAAUUCUCCGAAUCUGCGAACGGCUCCGCACACCAGUUGUAAACCAUAGCAUGGACCGGGAGGCGGCGAUGCCUGGCCUUCGGGCUGGGCUAGUCCCUUCCGAAAUGGAUAAUCGUGGUAAUUCUGAGACUAAUACAUGACGUAAACGUAACCCUCGUUCGGCCGGGCCUUCGGGCUGGGCUGGGCUUGGGGGACGCGUGAGAUAGGGCUUGGUUCAAUCCGGAGAUAGCGCGCGUUCGCACCGCCGUACAAGAGGGCCGCUUUCGAACGCUGGUGCCGUUGCCCCCUUCAGUGGGGGUGGCGUGCCGGCCUAGGGGCGGUCCUGGCGGGGCUUGCGUCGUGCAUCUGACCUAUCAACUAGAUGGCAGCGUAAGGGACAUGCUAUGGUAACAACGGGUACAGAGGAUUAGGGUUCGAUCCUGGAGAGUGGGCCUGAGAGAUUGCUCAUACUUCUAAGGAAGGCAGCAGGCGCGCAACGUUCCCCCUGGGCAAAAGCUCGAGGGCGUUAGGGGAAAUAUGGAUGCCCGCCCAAUGGGUAGGCAAUCCAAAUGG
rnacentral:rRNA from 1 species